UUCUUAAAUAGUGUAACUUUAACACUUAACAUUUUCAUUGUUAAAUUCUUUUUUUAAUAAGUUUAAGGAG
rnacentral:tRNA from 1 species